UGGAGGAGGAGGUGGAGGACGUGGAGGAGGUUCCACUGAAUGGGGAGUUGGUGGGUUAGAUUGUGAUGAUGGACCAGUAGAGUUUGCCUGGCUCCAGCCCCAGAUUAAGUCUGGGUCAUGCAUCCUCUUUAGAUAAACAUAAAAACUGUUCAUACCUGGAAGCAGAUAGCACAGAUGUCAUUAUACUGCUCCAGCUGUGUAUUGCUA